GCCCCUGAAAACAACCAUGAAUCUCUCCCAAGUGCUCUGAGUUGUCCCCACCCUGAAGAUCACCACUGAAACCUCUGGGACCCAUGUACAUGUGCAAGACAGAGUGAAUCUCACCUGCCACGUCCUCCACUUCUAUCCCGCCCACCUGCGACUCACCUGGAUGGAGAACAGGAGCAUGAUCCAGACCCUGGUGUCCCCUCGUCCCCUCAGGCCACCAGAAAUCCAGAUGGGACAUACUCUCUGGAGCACACGUGGCAGGCAGAGGCCACGCUGGAGGAGCGUGAGUUUGCUUGCUGGGUGGUCCACGAUGAGCAGCCCCCACUCAAGGCCAACGUCACCCUGCAAGCCCAGGUGCGCAGGCAGGGGAAAGGUGGGUACAGCCUCUGGCCCAGCCCCUCUGGACAUCCCCUGUGGGCAGCACGGCUGGGGAGGGUCAGAGACUCAGGGCGGCAUUGGAUGAUGGUGAAGGAAGGAAGGAUACCCGCAGCUGGUGAUACAACUCUCACACAUUCGCCCCCAG
rnacentral:lncRNA from 1 species